ACGGAAGGCAGCAGUGGGGAAUAUUGCACAAUGGGCGAAAGCCUGAUGCAGCGACGCCGCGUGAGUGAAGAAGUAUUUCGGUAUGUAAAGCUCUAUCAGCAGGGAAGAACAAUGACGGUACCUGACUAAGAAGCACCGGCUAAAUACGUGCCAGCAGCCGCGGUAAUACGUAUGGUGCAAGCGUUAUCCGGAUUUACUGGGUGUAAAGGGUGCGUAGACGGUUGUGUAAGUCAGAAGUGAAAUCCCGGGGCUUAACCCCGGUGCUGCUUUUGAAACUAUGCAACUAGAGUGCUGGAGGGGCAAGCGGAAUUCCUGGUGUAGCGGUGAAAUGCGUAGAUAUCAGGAGGAACACCGGUGGCGAAGGCGGCUUGCUGGACAGUAACUGACGUUGAGGCACGAAAGCGUGGGGAGCAAACAGGAUUAGAUACCUGGUA
rnacentral:rRNA from 1 species